rnacentral:rRNA from 1 species
AACGAACGCUGGCGGCAUGCCUAACACAUGCAAGUCGAACGAGCUCUUCGGGUCUAGUGGCGUACGGGUGCGUAACGCGCGGGAACCUGACCUUAGGUCCGGCAUAACUCCCCGAAUGGGGUGCCACUACCGGACAAUGUCUUCGGACCAAUGAUUUAUCGCCCUUGGAUGGGCCCGCGUCGGAUUAGCUAGUUGGUAGGGUAAAAGCCUACCAAGGCGACGUUCCUUAGCUGGUCUGCGAGGAUGAUCAGCCACACUGGGGCUGAGACACGGCCCAGACUCCUGCGGGGGGCUGCAGUAGGGUAUAUUAGACAAUGGGCGAAAGCCUGAGCCAGCAAUGCCGCGUGAGGAAUGAAGGCCUUAGGGUUGUAGAGCUCUUUUGCCCGGGAUGAUAAUGACAGUACCGUGGGAAUAAGCUCCGGCUAACUCCGUG